AACCUGCCUUCAACAGGGGGAUAACACUCCCAACGGGGUGCUAAUACCGCAUAAGACCACGGAUUCGCAUGGAUCCGAGGUAAAAGGUGGCCUCUGCUUGCAAGCUACCGGUUGAAGAUGGCUUCGCGUCCCAUUAGCUAGUUGGCGGUGUAACGGCCCACCAAGGCGACGAUGCUUAGGGGACCUGAGAGGGUGAUCCCCCACACUGGCACUGAGAUACGGGCCAG
rnacentral:rRNA from 1 species